rnacentral:rRNA from 1 species
GACGAACGCUGGCGGCGUGCCUAAUACAUGCAAGUCGAACGCUUCUUUUUCCACCGGAGCUUGCUCCACCGGAAAAAGAGGAGUGGCGAACGGGUGAGUAACACGUGGGUAACCUGCCCAUCAGAAGGGGAUAACACUUGGAAACAGGUGCUAAUACCGUAUAACAAAGAAAACCGCAUGGUUUUCUUUUGAAAGGCGCUUUCGGGUGUCGCUGAUGGAUGGACCCGCGGUGCAUUAGCUAGUUGGUGAGGUAACGGCUCACCAAGGCCACGAUGCAUAGCCGACCUGAGAGGGUGAUCGGCCACAUUGGGACUGAGACACGGCCCAAACUCCUACGGGAGGCAGCAGUAGGGAAUCUUCGGCAAUGGACGAAAGUCUGACCGAGCAACGCCGCGUGAGUGAAGAAGGUUUUCGGAUCGUAAAACUCUGUUGUUAGAGAAGAACAAGGAUGAGAGUAACUGUUCAUCCCUUGACGGUAUCUAACCAGAAAGCCACGGCUAACUACGUGCCAGCAGCCGCGGUAAUACGUAGGUGGCAAGCGUUGUCCGGAUUUAUUGGGCGUAAAGCGAGCGCAGGCGGUUUCUUAAGUCUGAUGUGAAAGCCCCCGGCUCAACCGGGGAGGGUCAUUGGAAACUGGGAGACUUGAGUGCAGAAGAGGAGAGUGGAAUUCCAUGUGUAGCGGUGAAAUGCGUAGAUAUAUGGAGGAACACCAGUGGCGAAGGCGGCUCUCUGGUCUGUAACUGACGCUGAGGCUCGAAAGCGUGGGGAGCAAACAGGAUUAGAUACCCUGGUAGUCCACGCCGUAAACGAUGAGUGCUAAGUGUUGGAGGGUUUCCGCCCUUCAGUGCUGCAGCUAACGCAUUAAGCACUCCGCCUGGGGAGUACGACCGCAAGGUUGAAGCUCAAAGGAAUUGACGGGGGCCCGCACAAGCGGUGGAGCAUGUGGUUUAAUUCGAAGCAACGCGAAGAACCUUACCAGGUCUUGACAUCCUUUGACCACUCUAGAGAUAGAGCUUCCCCUUCGGGGGCAAAGUGACAGGUGGUGCAUGGUUGUCGUCAGCUCGUGUCGUGAGAUGUUGGGUUAAGUCCCGCAACGAGCGCAACCCUUAUUGUUAGUUGCCAUCAUUCAGUUGGGCACUCUAGCGAGACUGCCGGUGACAAACCGGAGGAAGGUGGGGAUGACGUCAAAUCAUCAUGCCCCUUAUGACCUGGGCUACACACGUGCUACAAUGGGAAGUACAACGAGUCGCGAAGUCGCGAGGCUAAGCUAAUCUCUUAAAGCUUCUCUCAGUUCGGAUUGCAGGCUGCAACUCGCCUGCAUGAAGCCGGAAUCGCUAGUAAUCGCGGAUCAGCACGCCGCGGUGAAUACGUUCCCGGCCCU